rnacentral:rRNA from 1 species
UUCCCCUAGUAACGGCGAGUGAGCGGGAAGAGCUCAAAUUUGAAAUCUGGUGGCCUCAGGUCAUCCGAGUUGUAAUCUAUAGAAGUGUUUUCCGUGCUGGCUCAUGUACAAGUCCCUUGGAACAGGGCGUCAUAGAGGGUGAGAAUCCCGUCCUUGACAUGAACUACCAGUGCUCUGUGAUACAUUUUCAACGAGUCGAGUUGUUUGGGAAUGCAGCUCAAAAUGGGUGGUAAAUUCCAUCUAAAGCUAAAUAUUGGCGAGAGACCGAUAGCGAACAAGUACCGUGAGGGAAAGAUGAAAAGCACUUUGGAAAGAGAGUUAAACAGUAUGUGAAAUUGUUGAAAGGGAAACGAUUGAAGUCAGUCGUGCUCUUUGGAUUCAGCCGGUUCUGCCGGUGUACUUCCUUUGAGUGGGGUCAACAUCAGUUUUGAUCGCUGGAUAAAGGCUGGAGGAACGUAGUACCCUCGGGUAAACUUAUAGCCUCCUGUCACAUACAGUGGUUGGGACUGAGGAACGCAGCACGCCUUUAUGGCCGGGAUUCGUCCACGUACGUGCUUAGGAUGUUGACAUAAUGGCUUUAAACGACCCGUCU